AUGUUAUUUGCUGCAAUAAGAAGCAGGGUUCCUCCGAAAAUGAUGCUUCUUAUAAAGGCAUAUUACGUACAGUUCAUGGCAAAGGAGAUUUCCCGUCAGGAUUUCGU